UACGUAGGGUGCAAGCGUUGUCCGGAAUUAUUGGGCGUAAAGAGCUCGUAGGCGGUCUGUCACGUCGGGGUGUGAAAUCCCGGGGCUCAACCCCGUGACUGCAUCCGAUACUGUCAGGCUAGAGGUAGGUAGGGGAGAUCGGAAUUCCUGGUGUAGCGGUGAAAAUGCGCAGAUAUCAGGAGGAACACCGGUGGCGAAGGCGGAUCUCUGGGCCGAUACUGACGCUGAGGAGCGAAAGCGUGGGGAGCGAACAGG
rnacentral:rRNA from 1 species